AUUGAACGCUGGCGGCAGGCCUAACACAUGCAAGUCGAGCGGAUGAAGAGAGCUUGCUCUCUGAUUUAGCGGCGGACGGGUGAGUAAUGCCUAGGAAUCUGCCUGGUAGUGGGGGACAACGUUUCGAAAGGAACGCUAAUACCGCAUACGUCCUACGGGAGAAAGUGGGGGAUCUUCGGACCUCACGCUAUCAGAUGAGCCUAGGUACGAUUAGCUAGUUGGUGAGGUAAAGGCUCACCAAGGCGACGAUCGUUAACUGGUCUGAGUGGAUGAUCAGCCACACUGGAACUGGGACACGGUCCAGACUCCUACGGGAGGCAGCAGUGGGGAAUAUUGGACAAUGGGCGAAAGCCUGAUCCAGCCAUGCCGCGUGUGUGAAGAAGGUCUUCGGAUUGUAAAGCACUUUAAGUUGGGAGGAAGGGCAGUAAGUUAAUACCUUGCUGUUUUGACGUUACCGACAGAAUAAGCACCGGCUAACUUCGUGCCAGCCGCCGCGGUAACAC
rnacentral:rRNA from 1 species